CACAAGAGUUCACGGAGGGCCUGGAAGAAUAUCACCAUCGUUUGGAGAGAGAAUUUGAAAGCGGAAUCUCUUAAGCUAACAACAUAAGUAAAUUCUAGGCGACAGGGAGAAGAGGUGGACAGCAGCAUGCAUCUCUGGUCUGCAGUCUUGGACUGGAAACACAUUCAGAAACCGAGACAGAUUCAAGCCUUUGCGCGGUAGCCGGCUGGUAAUGAGAGGGGAUUGUCUAAAACGCUGGAUCCCGGCCAUGAGAUUCGUAUUGGAGAAUCCAGCGGGUUCGACUCAAAGAAAAUGAUAUUCAUUCUGAAUGUAUUAAAUGGCUUCUCUCCAAGACGAGACACGGCUUGUGUACUUUCCAUUCAGGUAAAACGAGCCGGUCCUGGGGUUCAGCUCAACAGCGCCGUACAUCGGCACAGCCUGGCAGAGCUACAAAAUAACCUAUGGAUAUUUUACAGACAGAAGGAAAGACCUUGACGAUAAAUUACACUGAUCUCCAGCGUCUGCAGACCUCACUUUUUACUCGAUAAAUUACACAGACAAAACCAGAGAUGUACUCUGGCG